CAUCACUCUCGGUGGUCACUUCUACAACCUGGCAGAUGUCUGGCGGGAAGGUGCCAUGAUUACUUUCAGGAAUCUGUGGUCCAGACAGACGCUGUCAAGCCUUCACAGGAAGGCAAAGACACAGCAGUCCACUCACUGAGCCAUUUCUGGCUGAAUGGAAAGGGGAAGGAGGCUCUGUUUACACUGUCUCCUGAUCUGAAGGUAGCCGACUGUCCAAACUACCAGAGCAACGCAGCAGGGCCUAGAUUCUAACAAACGGUAAUAGCAUUAACUGCCUACACACCGAGAGGAUGAAUCUAAUUAAGCUUGGUCUUCUAUUUUUUGUUAAUUCAAGUCUUUAUUUUGGUGAAGAGAACAAACAGUGGAAUACCCAGACUCAACCAAUACUACAACACAGCCCUACACCCAAGGCUACAGAAGAGAGGGCAGCAAGACUGUGAGAGCUAGAGGACCAUGGCAUCUACUGUGAGGCCAACUGCUCCAGAAUGGUGGGAAACAUGCUACGACCAGUGGACUAUGAUUGUGGUACCGCUAUCACAUUCUCUGGCUGUGAAGUUAAAUUCUUUGAUCAGCAGCAAUACUGUGUGGAAUACCGUGAUGGUGGAUAAGUAAGGUAUUCUGUAAACCCAUGGAUGGUAGUUUUGACAGAAGCAUUACAUGAAGAAAAAGCAAGCCCAUAACCAUAAUAAGUAGCUACUCUAGGAAGGACAAAGCAUUGUCUUUUCCACAGAGGAAGUGGUCCUAUGUAGUCAACCUGCCACCAGGUCACUAACUGGUCUCCCCAGAGGAUGGUGCAAUAUCUGAGACUCUGUGUUGGUUUCUGAUGUUGGUAGACCUGGCACUCAGCAGCAGUUGUAAUCAGGUCGAACUUAGUGAGUACAAGUCCUUGUCAAGGCCAUGCAGAAACUUCAUCUCUGCCACCAGGGCCACUUUGUUUAUGGGCCCGUUGGGCAAUGACAGGGAUGGCUGAGGAAAGAGGCUGACUGUCCUAUGUACUUGAUUACUGAAAUAUUCCUCUGCCAACAUCACCUUUCGAAGAUCAUUUAUAUGUGGCACAAAUAUCUUCACAUCCCUCCCCAGAUAUCUUUGUCACAAAUUUUGCAACUGUCCUUUUUCCAUGUCCCUGACCAUCCAGCAAAUCCAUUGGGUACAGCCCAUGAAUCAGGGACAAUUCACAUCUGGUCAUUUCUCCUUUCAAACAAGCUGUAUGACAGUGCGUACUGCCUGAAGUUCUGCCCACUGUGAAGAUCUCCCUUCACUGACAUCAUCCAGACCUUUCUCAGAAAAGGGGUUGCAGCCGUCCAUUUCUGGGCAAUGUCUACAUAGCAUUAGAAUCACGCCCUAGUCUCUUCUUCAUUCAAGUGACCACAGAGCAUACCCCAUGAGGCUGUAGUGUAGCUUGGGAACAGAUGGCACUGUAACGGGAGUAGAAACCACAGGUGUUUGAGUAAUUUCUUACUGGAAAUUUUUUUUUGCACCUUCAGGACUGCCAACUUCGGGACCACUUCUACUUGAUAAUGGAUUUCUGCUGUACACAUCCUAUUAGGACUUGAUGGGUCAGAGGUCACCCAGCUCAUGAUGGGAAGCUCAGCCUGCAUGGUAACUUUGUGGCCGAUUGUCAAAGUUUCCACCAAGGCCCAAGAGCAAGUGAAGAACUGUUUCUCAGAGAGAGAACAGCUGUCUGCAGAUGAUGGUCCAAAAAUCCCAAAGGUCUCUUCUGUCAUUCACCUCUAGGGGUCUGACAAAGGUUCCAAAUGGCACCGACACCCCAAGUGCCAUUAAUUCUGCUGGAUCACAUGGUCCAAGGGUAGAGCAGCCUGCAUCACAGUCUGGGCCUGCUGAAGAGUCCCCUCCUGUUCCAGGCUUCAUUCAAAGUUAGCAGCUUUCCAAAUCACUUGGAAUGCAGGCUGGGGUAACGCACCCAUAUGAGGAAUAGGCUGUCUUCAGAAUCCACACAGGCCCAAUAAAACAUUCAGCACUUCUUUCUUGUUGGUAGCAAGGGCCAAGUGCAAUGACUUACUCUUCACCUCGGAAGAAGCACCUUUACCUGACACACACCACUGGACUGCCAGAAUUUUUCGUUGGAUUUACUUCUUAUCCUUUGAUGAGAAUGUGUUUCAACAGAGUCCAAAGUGGUUGCUACCACUUGCUCAUUUGGUCCAAUCAGCAUAACAUCAUUAAUAUAGUUCAUCAACAUGAUAUUUUUUGGAAGAGACAUGAUCUAGAUCUCUUUGAACAAAGUUAUAACACAGGAUGGAGAGUUCAUAUGUCCUUGAGUAAAGCUGUAAAGGUAUAUUGCUGGCCUUGCCAACUGAAGGCCAACUGCUUCUGAUGGUCCCUAUGAGCAGGUACCAAGAAAAAGGCAUUUGCUGGAUCAGCAGCCGCAUACCAUGUACAAGCAGAUGUACAUGCUCAAGUAAUCUGCUCAGGUAAGAACAUCACAUCUAGUAUAGAUGUUGCAAACUGGGAGUCACCACAUGAUUAUGCUUUUAAUAGUCAGUCUCCAUGGUCCAUGUGUCUUCUCACUGGCCUAUAGGAGAGUUAAAGAGAGAUGUGGUGGGAACCACCAUCCCUGCACAUUUCAAGUCCUUAAGGGUGGCACUCAUCUCUUCAAUUCCUCCUGGAACGUGAAAUUGUCUUUGAUUUGUUAUUUUCCCUGGUGGAGACAACUCCAAUGGCUUCCAUUUAGCCUUUCCAACCAUAAUAUCCCUCACUCCACAGGUCAGGGAACCAAAUGCCUAAAUGAAUGUAUCCCAAUGACACAUUCUGAAUCUGGGGAAAGAACUACAGGGUCUACUGUUAGCUGUAUUUCAGCCCAAACUCCAUUAAUCACUUGACUUCCAUAAGCCCCUUCUUUAACUUGAGGGCCACAAUGUUUCUUGGGAUCUCCCAGAAUCCAUGUCAAUUCAGAAUUUGUAUCCAAUAGACCCGGAAAUUCUGAUUGUUUCCUUUCCCCCAGUAUACAGUUACCCUGGUAAAAGGCCAUAUGUCCCUCUGGGGAAAGGACUGUAGGCUAAUAGGAACACUCUUACUCAUUUCAUCAAGGUCCUUCCUCAGGGGGCACCUGGCCAUUCCUUCAUUCAAAGGGUUCUGGGUCCGCAAACUGGUUCAAGUCUGAUAUAAGCUGAGAUUGCCUUUUACCAUGAUCCAAGGUAACCUUUCCUUCAUUUGUUUGAGAAUUUUUCUACUUUCACAAAGUAACUACAAAUGCAGUGGGUUAUUUUUUUUAAAUCUAGUUCAUGUCUGGAAACACCGUGUUGAUUAGCCAGUACCUAAAGUUCAUAAAGUCAAGCCAUUAUAAAAUUAACUUUACCAUUACCAGCCAGGUCAUUAUGAACAUUGCUUUGCCUAUGUUGGCCAUUAUGAUAACUGUGAUCACGUCACCUCUGGCAAUUCAAUGCUGCCACCUGGCCCUCUUGGUCCCCAAUUAAACCUACUGUAUUUAAUUCAUCCAAUCGAGCAGUAGUGUCUCCAACACUAAGGUCUGACACAAGGAAAAAGGAAACAAAACUCUUCAAAUGUGCCAGGGCCCUCUCACCAAUUUAACUGUCUUACAUAAGAUUAGUGAAGGGCACAUCUUCUGGUCCUUCCCAUGUGAAGAAUUGGAUAUCUCUAUGCAUAACUCUAGCAUUGCAAUCUCUUAAAAGCCUUUUAUCAACAUCAAGCCAAAGGAUAUCAGACAUCACCAACUUCUUUUCAGUAGGACAUCUUUUGACAAAUGCUUUGCCAACCAUUCAAACAAAAAUUUUCAUACCCUUUUAGCUGAGCAAACUUCCAUAUUAAACCUAAAGCCUCCAUUCAGAAGGACCAUGUCAAUAAACUAGGUUUUAUGUUCCUUCCACAUUAUCCCACAUCCUCAAAUACUUCUACACAUCCACACAUACUUCUAGAGUUCUGCAUAAACAAAUUAGCAAGUUUGUAGUGUAUGGGGUGCACUUCCUUGUGGUCCACACAUUCUAGCUUCCUUCUAGGAACCUACUUAACCUUAAAUCUGAUUACAGGUCUAGUGGCAAGAAUUGGUCCCUGAGGGACACCAGUGUUGUCUCGGCUGGCAUCUCUUUCAGAGAAAGUUACUGCUGGUUUAACAGACAAUGAAGGAUUAAUUUCCUCGGUCAAAGGUGAAAAGGGCAAUCUUUCAGAGGGGUGGUGUGAGUGUAUCUGCUGAGGGUAGAGAGACUAAAACCUCAGGUAAGAUAAACCCUCGAGAACCUGAGGGUUCAAAGUUCUCGACUUCAGUAGGGUCCUCCCACACAUUUCCAUCCCAGGCUACAGGAUCCCAUUCUUUACCAAUGAAUGUCCUUCCUCUAACUGCCAACAUCCUCCGAGGCUGCGACUUGAAUUUUCACUGUUAUUCAGUCAGCCUUACAAUGAGGGCUAUGGUUUGGUUUCCUUCAAGCUGUGUUGCCUGGCUGCCAGAGAGAAGAUUCUCUCCCAGGGCACACUUAGCAACCUGUAGGCUGUUUCUGUGCAUUCGGAGGUCAGUUUUAUCACUGAGAUCAUUGUUGUUGUUCACACUAUCCCAAGACACUAGAAGUUGAUCAAUUUUAUCUCGGUGCUCAUUAUAUUUCAUUGUUAAAUUAUCUAAAAUGGCUAGGAUACUCAAUGAUCAGCAUGCUCCCUAUUUUCCCAUAAAUUGUCAAAUGUCUUCUAUACGGGGUCACCAAAUCUGUUGCCUCUCAAAUUGGUGAAUCAGGAUAACCAAAUGCACUCAUCUCUUUCAGUUUACAAAACAGUUCACACAAUGUGCUUUUAAUAUUCUUUCAACUUCUAGGAGAGGCUUCAAUACUGUAGGUUUGGGCAUAUUGGAAAGCCUAGUCAUAUUUUUAAAAUGCAUAUUAUACUUCUGUUGUUCUAGAACCAGUUCUAGUACCAAAAUCUUUAAUAGUCAGGGCUCUCUAGAGGAACGGAACCAAUCUCUAUAAAGAUAUGUAUCAAUAGAAUAUAUGUACAUAUACAUAUACAGACAUAUAUAUGUAUAUACACACAUAUAAUGAGGAUUUUAGAGUGGCUUAUAGGCUGUGGUCCAGCUACUUUGACAAUGUCUGUCCACCAAU
rnacentral:sRNA from 1 species